rnacentral:rRNA from 1 species
CCUACGGGUGACAGCAGUAGGGAAUAUUGCUCAAUGGGGGAAACCCUGAAGCAGCAACGCCGCGUGGAGGAUGAAGGUUUUCGGAUUGUAAACUCCUUUUGUUAGAGAAGAUAAUGACGGUAUCUAACGAAUAAGCACCGGCUAACUCCGUGCCAGCAGCCGCGGUAAGACGGAGGGUGCAAGCGUUACUCGGAGUCACUGGGCGUAAGGCGCGAGUAGGCGGGAUGGCAAGUCAGAUGUGAAAUCCUAUGGCUUAACCAUAGAACUGCAUUUGAAACUGUUAUUCUAGAGUAUUGGAGAGGUAGGUGGAAUUCUUGGUGUAGGGGUAAAAUCCGUAGAGAUCAAGAGGAAUACUCAUUGCGAAGGCGACCUGCUAGAACAUAACUGACGCUGAUGCGCGAAAGCGUGGGGAGCAAACAGGAUUAGAUACCCGUGUAGUC